rnacentral:lncRNA from 1 species
GGCCGCCUGGGGCCCCAGAGAGGGUAGGACAGCUCGGAGGCUGCAGCCCAGAGACUGGAGCACCGGGGGGCGGCCAGCCGUCCGGCGUGCCCACCCCCAGGGGUUCCUGGGACACGGGGCCCAGAGCACUAAGGCCAGCCAAGUCCCGGGGACACUGGGUGGCUGGUCACCUCCCGAGCGUCCAGGGCCGGGCAGUCUGUGGGAACGAGGGCCAGCCCGCAUCGCUGCCUACCUGGCGCUGACGUCUUUGGGUGAGACUCCACUGACGGGAAUGUCCCUGAGCCACACGUCCAGCCGCGAGCGCCCAGAGGAGGGCCUGCCCGCCGAGGAAGGGGGUGCUGCUGGCGCAAGCCAGGCCUGGACCCACCUCCCGGUGCAGACGCCCAGGGUCCUGAGAGGGGGCCUUCCUCACGGAGAAUUCACUCCCAGGGGGCCACCCCCCCAGCCCUGCAGUCCUGCGGCCCUUGGCUGGUCAGUUCCUUGCGGUUUCUAAUGUCCAUUGGAGAAGACAAACCAGACGAGGUUAGAUUCCAGAAGCUCCAUUGAUUUUGAAUUAUUCAGUUUUACCUGCAUUUGAAAAAUAUAAAAUCAUUUACUGUUUUUGUUUU